UGGAGUGCAGAUGUUUGGAUCCUUGGAUGUUUUUCUAUAUGCAGCUAGAAGAGCUGAGCGAGCACCCAGGUGUGGAGGACUGCGACGGCAAGAUCACCUGGAGCAGCAGCAUAUUAUUCACUGUAUCAGCUCCACCUAGUGGCCACAAUGCAGUAUUUUCCUGUUUCACUCUAUCCUGUAUAAAUGAAAAACCUGUGAUCUGGCGAGAAAAUAGCCUAAUAACAUUUGUUUUUGUACAGAAUAAAUAUACAUUCAGUAUCACAGAGAAAAUAGCUUAUUUUUAAUAUUUUUAGCUGUUAUUUAUUUACAUAUUUGUUCAUUGUUGUGUCUUCUUAAUUGUGAAAAUAUCUUUAACAAAGUCUGACUUAUUUCCCGUCAUAAAGUUCCUCUAAUUAUAUGUGUCUUUCCUUCCUGUGCUAGUCUACCAUGGCAAUUGUGGAAUGCCUUGUCUCUCAUAGUGGAUACAGUCAGAUUUUCAAGCCAUGGUGUUACAAAUCUCUCUUUUUAGUUUAUUACAGUUGAAGUUUUAUAGUAUGUGGGAGGAGCUACGAUUAUACUGUAUGUGGGAGGAGCUACGGUUAUACUGGUUAAGAACAUGGAGAUAGGUUUACUACUUUAGUUAGUCCAGAGACACCGGUGGAUAACACAAUGGACUGGCCCUGUCUGUCUCCACACAGAAGCAUAAAGCACCGAGUCUGUGAUUACUACUGGACAAACUUGUUCUUGAGCAUCUAAAUCAUUUCAUAUCUCAAUAAGCUGAAGUCACUUAUGGUUUCUCCCGACUGCUGGUACAUCCUGUAGUGACAUAUAAGCCAUCGUCAAAAACCACUGUGUGCAAUGCAGGAACAGGUAAUCAACCCAUCCAGAUGGUUAAAUACUUGCAGCAGGCAGCAAGAAGCAAAAAAGUGGCAUAUCAACAAAAAGACCACUGGAAAGUUAAAUUAUAUUGCCUCAUCUAUUACAGGUAUGCUUUAACAUAUACAGUGACCCUGAUAUGGAAUGUGUAAUGGUUUUGUAUAUAUUUUGUGUGUUUAUUAUCAUAAAGACUAAAAUAACAUUGUAAACAAAAAAUUCUUCUUUUGUCAGGUCAAUAUAAAAUAUUCCUCAAGAGCCUCAUUCCUAAUCAAAUGGCUGCAUCUAAGGUACAUCUGAGAGGCUUGUUCACACAUACUGUGGUGACUGGCGUUUUUCUGCGCUGGAUCAAAGCUAUUGGCAUAAGGGCAUAUAGAAAAAAAAAUUUCACACCACAGUGUUGCAAUAAUACACAGUGCAGGAAAAAUGCAGGCAUGCUUUAUUUUUCUGCAGUGCUUUGUAUGUCAGCACAGGUCAUCAAGCCACAGCUUAACACACUGCACUGCUGGGCAGAGACUUAAUAGGAUUGCACACUAUGUCCACAUCCAGUAAAGUUAAAAAGAUGUAAGCAGAGUCCACUGGCUGCACACUACAGCAGAACACUUUAGCAUGUGGCCUGUGUGAUUGAGACCCCCAGUCAGGCAGAAUGAUCAUAAAGGUAGGCAGCUUCUGCUCUGCCCAUUCAUUAGCUAACCCAUAGUGUUCUGGGAAUCCUUUGUCAUGUAUUAAAGGAGAAGUACAGCACUCCUGGGACCUGUUUUCAGCAGACAGCGGGCUGAAGUACACUGUCUGCUGAUAUCAAAGAGCCAGUCCAGGUUCUGGCAAGAUUGCGACCAUAUGGUCGGGAUCCGCCCACAUGCCCAGACCGCCACCCAGCUCAGCUUCUCACCUGGCGAGCCACAGGCAAAGCAUACAGCAGUGACUGACAGCCACCAGCUCUCUGCUCACAGAGCUCUGAGAAUUGAGCGAUUGGUGGUGUAUGAUCGCUCAGUUCUCAAUGUUAGAGCCAGCGGGGGACAGAUGCAGAAUCGGACUGAUGCUGCAUCCAGCUUGGUAAGUAUGAUGCUACAAAAAAACUGAUUCCCAUACUUCUCUUUUAAAUGUUUAUUUGUUAACCUGAUACCAUUUGUGUACUACAGAUAUAAAACAUCAGAAUAAAACAUAUAAACUAUAACAUUAAUGUACAAUAACAGUGACUCCAAACCAUUAUUCCAAAAUGUGCUUUUAUCUGCACUUGCACCACCCUCUAGUACUAUCAGCAGUCAUUGGUAUUGUAAGCGUUUAGGUCAUAAGGUUUAAAUCAUUAGUGUGUUAUGUGACUACCUGUAUUUGCAAAUGUAGAUGACAGGUUAAAGUGGUCCUGUCAGCACAGGGGCACUUGUAUAUAACAUAUACUGUACCUGCAAUUUAAGAAUACUGCAUAUGCUUACAGUACCUUUCCCGUGUUCUGAUUUUUGAAAGGCUGUCACUUCACUUCUCACUAUACGCAAGUAUUCAUACAUUUCCAGGUGUGUGAAUAAACUGCUUCCCCACUGCUUUCUUUGUUUUUUACAACUGUCUCUUACAUCACUCUAGGUCUAGGAUAUCGGUGCCACAGCUUAAUGAUAAUAUGCUCUUCUAUACUUUGUU